rnacentral:rRNA from 1 species
UACGUAGGCAGCAAGCGUUGUUCGGAGUUACUGGGCGUAAAGGGUGUGUAGGCGGUCUUCUAAGUUUGGUGUGAAAUCUCCCGGCUCAACUGGGAGGGUGCGCCGAAAACUGGGAGGCUAGAGUGCGGGAUGGGAGAGUGGAAUUCCUGGUGUAGCGGUGAAAUGCGUAGAUAUCAGGAGGAACACCUGUGGUGUAGACGGCUCUCUGGACCGCAACUGACGCUGAGACACGAAAAGCGUGGGUAGCAAACAGG